rnacentral:rRNA from 1 species
GGCUAAUCUACGUGCCCGGCAGGCCGCGGUUAAUACGUAAGGUGGCCAAGCGUUAUUCCGGAUUUUAUUGGGGCGUAAAAGCGAGGCCCAGGCGGUCUUUUUAAGUUCUAAUGUGAAAAGCCUUCGGCUUCAACCGAAGAAAGUGCAUUGGAAAACUGGGAGACUUGAGUGCAGAAGAGGAACAGUGGAACCUCCAUGUGUAGCGGUGAAAUGCGUAGAUAUAUGGAAGAACACCAGUGGCGAAGGCGGCUGUCUGGUCUGCAACUGACGCUGAGGCUCGAAAGCAUGGGUAGCGAACAGGAUUAGAUACCCUGGUAGUCCAUGCCGUAAACGAUGAUUACUAAGUGUUGGAGGGUUUCCGCCCUUCAGUGCUGCAGCUAACGCAUUAAGUAAUCCGCCUGGGGAGUACGACCGCAAGGUUGAAACUCAAAAGAAUUGACGGGGGCCCGCACAAGCGGUGGAGCAUGUGGUUUAAUUCGAAGCUACGCGAAGAACCUUACCAGGUCUUGACAUCUUCUGACAGUCUAAGAGAUUAGAGGUUCCCUUCGGGGACAGAAUGACAGGUGGUGCAUGGUUGUCGUCAGCUCGUGUCGUGAGAUGUUGGGUUAAGUCCCGCAACGAGCGCAACCCUUAUUACUAGUUGCCAGCAUUAAGUUGGGCACUCUAGUGAGACUGCCGGUGACAAACCGGAGGAAGGUGGGGACGACGUCAAAUCAUCAUGCCCCUUAUGACCUGGGCUACACACGUGCUACAAUGGAUGGUACAACGAGUCGCGAGACCGCGAGGUUAAGCUAAUCUCUUAAAACCAUUCUCAGUUCGGACUGUAGGCUGCAACUCGCCUACACGAAGUCGGAAUCGCUAGUAAUCGCGGAUCAGCAUGCCGCGGUGAAUACGUUCCCGGGCCUUGUACACACCGCCCGUCACACCAUGAGAGUUUGUAACACCCAAAGCCGGUGGGGUAACCUUUAGGAGCUAGCCGUCUAAGGUGACAGAGAAUGCA